rnacentral:rRNA from 1 species
GACGUAGGGCGCGAGCGUUGUCCGGAUUUAUUGGGCGUAAAGAGCUCGUAGGCGGUUUGUCGCGUCUGCUGUGAAAACUGGGGGCUCAACCCCCAGCCUGCAGUGGGUACGGGCAGACUAGAGUGCGGUAGGGGAGAUUGGAAUUCCUGGUGUAGCGGUGGAAUGCGCAGAUAUCAGGAGGAACACCGAUGGCGAAGGCAGAUCUCUGGGCCGUAACUGACGCUGAGGAGACGAAGCAUGGGGAGCGAACAGG